UACAGUGGGUGCAAACGUUGCUCGGAAUCAUUGGGCGUAAAGCGCACGUAGGCGGUUCGUUAUGUCGGAUGUGAAAGCCCUUGGCUUAACCGAGGAAGUGCAUCCGAAACUGGCGAGCUAGAGUACUAAAGAGGAUCGCGGAAUUCCCGGUGUAGAGGUGAAAUUCGUAGAUAUCGGGAGGAACACCGGUGGCGAAGGCGGCGAUCUGGGUAGAUACUGACGCUGAGGUGCGAAAGCGUGGGGAGCAAACAGG
rnacentral:rRNA from 1 species